UGGCAGAACUCUUCAGCCUGAAAAAGCGAUGGUUGGGUAGGACAUUGGGAUAAGGGUAUGUCAGAGGCAGAAUAUGCUUAAAACUUGCAAAAUCAAGAAGACUGCUAAUCAGAUAUGGUUACAUUCUGUAGAUGACUUUGCAGUUGAUCUUGUGAUGAGUUUGCAGGUCUUUUAUUGCAAGAUAAUAUGGAUCCAGUCCAAGAAUAAGUAAAUGGCAUCCUUCCAGUGGAGAGCUGACAGCUGGGAUUGAAACAAGAUCCAGAAUUCACCCUGCUGUUUCUCCAUGAGUCUGACCUGCAUCAACUGCCUCCCUUAUUCUGGGAUUCCAGUUGUGGAGCUCAAGGACAAGUCCAUUCUGGGCUGGCUGUAUCCAACUUCUUUAGUCCAACUAUAUCCCCACUGGAAGCCAGGCUCUUUCCAACAGCUGUCACCCAUGCCUCUUUCUAUGUUUGUUAUCUGUCUCUAGGUUCUGGUAACUACUUCCUUCCCUUGCCCCUUCUGGCCUAGGGUGCUACCAAUCCCUCCUCCAAAUCCAACUGUCACUAGCCUCAAAGUACUUGUAGCUUCCUCACCUUACUUUCACCUUAAUAAAUGGUCCCCCUACUAUCUCUCUUCAAAGCACCCAAUUUGAGUGUGCCAUCUGUUUCUUGCCAGGAUCCUGGUUGGUACAUCAACCAAGCUGCACUGAUGGAGGAGCACUGUGCUGAACUUUAGGAAUGAAGCCACAGGGCCCUCACUGCCCCCAUAGUCACCUUGGUCAUCUUCUGCCUCCCUGAAAGACUAAAUUCAGUCAGUUCAGAUACAUACACAUCCAGACAUGUCAGGGAAAACUCCAUUUUGUAAGGAUCUCUGCUUAAAAUGCCAAAAGUUUGAAAGUUGGCAAACACUUGAGAAAAGCACAGUUCUCUGUCUUACUCUUACUCUAAACUUGGAGAUAAAUGCAUUUUUAAAAUUGUGCAUGUUAGAGUGCUAACGUGUACAAGAUCAUUUCUGGUGAGACACCACAAACAAUAUUUUAUGAGGCCAAAAUAAGAAAGAAGGAAAUGAAAUAGCUCAGGAAUCUCAGGAAGAGCUCAUCGAACACUUUGCCUUUAUCUCAGACCAUUUUAUCCACAGCCCUGUUAAUCAGGAUUGGAUAUACCUCCAUGAGGGAGUCUUAAACGGAGGGAAAGAGAUGCCACAACUAAAAAAAAGAAUGCAAUAGAAGUUUGUCUUAAUGCCUGUUCUGUGAUGCACAACUUUCGUAAGCCAAAAUUUUAACCUUAUGAACAAUCAGUUCUGUGCUGCCCUUAGCAGAGAACCAUAAAUUAAAGAUAAGCAAUGGUUCAGACUUUCCAGGGCCUUGACUCAGGAGUAACUCUGAAAUCCCAACCAAAUAUGUAUUUGGUUAAGCAAUUUGGCACAUUUUUCUAUUUUGAGGCAUUAAACUAUAAUUACAAGUCACUUUUAUUUCAUUCCAAAUAAAUGUCCCUAAAGUAGAUAGAACUAGAGGUUUCCUUUUUUUAAAAAAAGGAAACAGGAAAACAACAAACAAAACCAAAAAGAACAAAAGCAAAACAAAACU
ensembl:lncRNA LINC02542 long intergenic non-protein coding RNA 2542